AGAGUUUGAUCCUGGCUCAGGAUGAACGCUGGCGGCGUGCUUAACACAUGCAAGCGAACGAACCUUCGGGUUAGUGGCGGACGGGUGAGUAACGCGUGAGAAUCUGCCCUUAGGAGGGGGAUAACGGCUGGAAACGGCCGCUAAUACCCCAUAUGCCGAGAGGUGAAAUGAAUUUCGCCUGAGGAUGAGCUCGCGUCUGAUUAGCUUGUUGGUGGGGUAAUGGCCUACCAAGGCAACGAUCAGUAGCUGGUCUGAGAGGAUGAUCAGCCACACUGGGACUGAGACACGGCCCAGACUCCUACGGGAGGCAGCAGUGGGGAAUUUUCCGCAAUGGGCGAAAGCCUGACGGAGCAACGCCGCGUGAGGGAUGAAGGCCUCUGGGCUGUAAACCUCUUUUAUCAAGGAAGAAGAUCUGACGGUACUUGAUGAAUAAGCCACGGCUAAUUCCGUGCCAGCAGCCGCGGUAAUACGGGAGUGGCAAGCGUUAUCCGGAAUUAUUGGGCGUAAAGCGUCCGCAGGCGGCCUGACAAGUCCGCUGUUAAAGCGUGGAGCUUAACUCCAUUUCAGCAGUGGAAACUGUCAGGCUUGAGUGUGGUAGGGGCAGAGGGAAUUCCCGGUGUAGCGGUGAAAUGCGUAGAUAUCGGGAAGAACACUAGUGGCGAAAGCGCUCUGCUGGGCCAUCACUGACGCUCAUGGACGAAAGCCAGGGAGCGAAAGGGAUUAGAUACCCCUGUAGUCCUGGCCGUAAACGAUGAACACUAGGUGUCGGGGGAAUCGACCCCUCCGGUGUCGUAGCCAACGCGUUAAGUGUUCCGCCUGGGGAGUACGCACGCAAGUGUGAAACUCAAAGGAAUUGACGGGGGCCCGCACAAGCGGUGGAGUAUGUGGUUUAAUUCGAUGCAACGCGAAGAACCUUACCAGGGCUUGACAUCCUGCGAACCUCUGGGAAACCGGAGGGUGCCUUCGGGAACGCAGUGACAGGUGGUGCAUGGCUGUCGUCAGCUCGUGUCGUGAGAUGUUGGGUUAAGUCCCGCAACGAGCGCAACCCACGUCUUUAGUUGCCAGCAUUUAGUUGGGCACUCUAGAGAGACCGCCGGUGACAAACCGGAGGAAGGUGUGGAUGACGUCAAGUCAUCAUGCCCCUUACGUCCUGGGCUACACACGUACUACAAUGCUACGGACAAAGGGCAGCAAGUUCGCGAGGACAAGCAAAUCCCAUAAACCGUGGCUCAGUUCAGAUCGUAGGCUGCAACUCGCCUACGUGAAGGAGGAAUCGCUAGUAAUCGCAGGUCAGCAUACUGCGGUGAAUACGUUCCCGGGCCUUGUACACACCGCCCGUCACACCAUGGAAGUUGGCCACGCCCGAAGUCGUUACUCCAACCCUCUGGGAGGAGGACGUCGAAGGUGGGGCUGAUGACUGGGGUGAAGUCGUAACAAGGUAACC
rnacentral:rRNA from 1 species